AAUAUUUGACAGCUGUAUACCUACAUGUAUCAUAUGUUGUAGAAUUUAUAGACAAGUGAACGUAAUAAUCUAAAUGUCGAAAUUCCUGGUUUUUCUUCUACUGGUGGGUGUUUUGGGUAA